CACCAGCAAGGUUCUGAAGUCGUGUGAAACUGUUGCUCGGUGUCUGUUAGCAGCAUCUGAGGGAAACCGUCUCUUCUUGACCUCUUUGUUACCUUUGCCCUUUAGUCUUCCUUCUCUUUCUCAUCAAAUCUUAGAAUAAAGCAGACAGCAUCCUAGGAAGAUGUGGAGGAUGAGAAGUUUGGAGACAAGUCAACCAUGCUAAGAUGUAUCCUGCUGUUUUUCGGCAAAAAGAGCUGAGCUGGUUCCCAGACUAUGGUGUCAGACCCUCCUCUCAUGGAAGGAGAAACAGACUUCAACUAUCACAGAAAAAAGUCUUCAGAAAAUCCCCCUCAGAAAGCCUGUGAUGAGAUGAUGUGAAAGACUUGGCAGUCUUACCUUGGAAGCAAGAUAAUUGAUAUGAGUUUGUUAGGACAUUGCAACUUGUUACAAGUGAGAAACUGGUCACAGCCACAGAAUAGAGCAAGAGGAAACAAGAUACAGUCUGAGAGGAGAGAGAGGGGCCACCUCUGGUUGCACAUGACUUCCCAACCCAAUGUCAAAGCUUUUCCUUCACUACACAGUCUCUAGCAAAAGAGGAGCAGUGGAUUUCAACAUCCAAGCUGUUAACAGCACCAUUUACAAGGUACUGAUAGAGGCCCUAUAUGUUAGUAUCCACACCCCAGUAGAGAGAACCAUUUUUCAGUUGCUUAGACCUUAACUCUGCCCUAACUGAGGGCAAGGGCAAU